GAACUAUGAUGAUAUAUGCACCUUCUGGCUGAUUAGGGUCGGCCACUUUAUCUGAUAAUCAGAUAAAAAAUGUGUACUACUGAGUUC